rfam:Ailuropoda melanoleuca scaffold238_11, whole genome shotgun sequence.
UGGCUCAGUUGGUAGAGCGUGUGACUCUUGAUCUCAGGGUUGUGAGUUCAAGCCCCAC